rnacentral:rRNA from 1 species
UCAUCUUCGGGGGUAGAGCACUGUUUCGGCUAGGGGGUCAUCCCGACUUACCAACCCGAUGCAAACUACGAAUACCGAAGAAUGUUAUCACGGGAGACACACGGCGGGUGCUAACGUCCGUCGUGAAGAGGGAAACAACCCAGACCGCCAGCUAAGGUCCCAAAGUCAUGGUUAAGUGGGAAACGAUGUGGGAAGGCACAGACAGCCAGGAUGUUGGCUUAGAAGCAGCCAUCAUUUAAAGAAAGCGUAAUAGCUCACUGGUCGAGUCGGCCUGCGCGGAAGAUGUAACGGGGCUAAACCAUGCACCGAAGCUGCGGCAGCGACACGAUGUGUUGUUGGGUAGGGGAGCGUUCUGUAAGCCUGCGAAGGUGACCUGUGAGGGUUGCUGGAGGUAUCAGAAGUGCGAAUGCUGACAUAAGUAACGAUAAAGCGGGUGAAAAGCCCGCUCGCCGGAAGACCAAGGGUUCCUGUCCAACGUUAAUCGGGGCAGGGUGAGUCGACCCCUAAGGCGAGGCCGAAAGGCGUAGUCGAUGGGAAACAGGUUAAUAUUCCUGUACUUGGUGUUACUGCGAAGGGGGGACGGAGAAGGCUAUGUUAGCCGGGCGACGGUUGUCCCGGUUUAAGCAUGUAGGCUGGUUAUCCAGGCAAAUCCGGAUAAUCAAGGCUGAGGUGUGAUGACGAGGCACUACGGUGCUGAAGUAACAAAUGCCCUGCUUCCAGGAAAAGCCUCUAAGCAUCAGGUAACAUCAAAUCGUACCCCAAACCGACACAGGUGGUCAGGUAGAGAAUACCAAGGCGCUUGAGAGAACUCGGGUGAAGGAACUAGGCAAAAUGGUGCCGUAACUUCGGGAGAAGGCACGCUGGUGUGUAGGUGAAGUCCCUGCGGAUGGAGCUGAGACCAGUCGAAGAUACCAGCUGGCUGCAACUGUUUAUUAAAAACACAGCACUGUGCAAACACGAAAGUGGACGUAUACGGUGUGACGCCUGCCCGGUGCCGGAAGGUUAAUUGAUGGGGUUAUCCGUAAGGAGAAGCUCUUGAUCGAAGCCCCGGUAAACGGCGGCCGUAACUAUAACGGUCCUAAGGUAGCGAAAUUCCUUGUCGGGUAAGUUCCGACCUGCACGAAUGGCGUAAUGAUGGCCAGGCUGUCUCCACCCGAGACUCAGUGAAAUUGAACUCGCUGUGAAGAUGCAGUGUACCCGCGGCAAGACGGAAAGACCCCGUGAACCUUUACUAUAGCUUGACACUGAACAUUGAGCCUUGAUGUGUAGGAUAGGUGGGAGGCUUUGAAGCGUGGACGCCAGUCUGCGUGGAGCCAACCUUGAAAUACCACCCUUUAAUGUUUGAUGUUCUAACGUGGGCCCCUGAUCGGGGUUGCGGACAGUGUCUGGUGGGUAGUUUGACUGGGGCGGUCUCCUCCCAAAGCGUAACGGAGGAGCACGAAGGUUAGCUAAUCCUGGUCGGACAUCAGGAGGUUAGUGCAAUGGCAUAAGCUA